GACGAACGCUGGCGGCGUGCUUAACACAUGCAAGUCGAACGAAGUGGCGAACGGGUGAGUAACGCGUAAUCAACCUGCCCUUCAGAGGGGGACAACAGUUGGAAACGACUGCUAAUACCGCAUAAUGAAGGAGGGGAUUGCGUUUGAUUAGCUGGGUGGAGGGGUAACGGCCAACCAAGGCGAUGAUCAGUAGCCGGCCUGAGAGGAUGAGCGGCCACAUUGGGACUGAGACACGGCCCAGACUCCUACGGGAGGCAGCAGUGGGGAAUCUUCCGCAAUGGAGGAAAGGCUGACGGAGCAACGCCGCGUGAGUGAUGACGGCCUUCGGGUUGUAAAGCUCUGUUAAUCGGGACGCGGUACCGGAAUAGAAAGCCACGGCUAACUACGUGCCAGCAGCCGCGGUAAUAC
rnacentral:rRNA from 1 species